UGCGAAGGUAGCAUAAUCAUUAGCCUUUUGAUUUGAGGCUGGAAUGAAUGGUUUGACGAGAGAUGGUCUGUCUCUUCGAUUAAAUUGAAGUUAAUCUUUAAGUGAAAAAGCUUAAAUAUACUUGGAGGGCGAUAAGACCCUAUAGAUCUUUACAUUUAAUUCUUUUGUUUCGCGGUAGGUAAUUAGACAGAGUAAUAUAAUGUUCGGUUGGGGCGACGGUAAGAACAGAAUAAACACUUACAACAUAAAGACAUCAAUAAAUGACCAUUGAUCCUUAGAUGAAUAAAGACCAAGUUACCUUAGGGAUAACAGCGUAAUUCUUUUUGAGAGUUCAAAUCGACAAAAGAGUUUGCGACCUCGAUGUUGGUUCAGGGAUCCUACUCGGUGCAGCAGCCUAGAGAGGCAGU
rnacentral:rRNA from 1 species